ACUUAAACACGGGCACGAUACGCAAGAAAAGCCGGAUCACGUAAUAUAACAUGAACGCCGCCCUUUUUCCGUUUGUGUGUUAUUUUGUGAUUGAAAACCACAGCAGACGGACGUAAACGUGGAGUAAAAUCGUCAAAAUAGUGAGAAAAAAAUGGAAAAAUCGCCAUCUUCGUGUGCAUCAGGCCUCCUGCGUCCACAAAAAUAUAAAUUUUCGAUGGAACUGACUUUGGCACAGAGGCAAAAAAGUGCAUUAGGGGCUUACGCGUAGGCCCUUGAUACGGACUGAUGGCUGCUACUCGGUGAUAAGUCACACGAUCCCAUCAUGAAGUCGCUAAAGGUGAAUCCCCAACGCUUGACCAUACUGUUGGUACAAUAUUUAUGUUGGUUUCAUAUUUUCUCAUGGUAAUAAAAAUACAAUGUGAUGCUUAGCAAUUGAUAAAAACUA